GCUUGUUGCGCCGACAGCACAGCAUGUAGAAGAUGGCGAAGGUGGAGGGAGCGUUAAGAGUUGUAGGAAGUGUGAUUUUGGAGGGAAUCUAAAACGGAUUUCAUCUCUGAGGUGCUUGUCAAAUGUUGCUUAUGUUUGGUUAAUUACAAGAGAUUUAAUAAAGCAUUGGUCGGCCAGUGACUAAACUAGCAAGUGAAAGACCAAAAAAAACGUUAGUAGUUGUGGUCAACUUAAGCUAAAAUUUCAACAAGCAUCGCUUUGUCUGAAGUACCACAGUACACUGUUUCAAUGGGCUGUUUCUGACUGAACUACAGCACUCCUGAAGAAAGAGGACCAGACAGCCGGCCAGGGUCGGACUCAGCACAGCUCGACAAGAGUGACGGUCUGCUUCUGUCCAGGAAACGUACAGGUGGGGCUCAUUAAGUUUUCCACGCGCUCCAGAUUUUGAUAGAGGGCUUUACAUGGAGCAGAAGGUCCAACAUACAUACAUACAUACACAGUACAUAGGGGAGAGUGGGGUAAGUUGAGCCACCCCCUUGUUCCUUGGAAAUGGUAAAAGAAAUGGAUCAUGUGACCAAAUAUUUAGGAGAUGGGCAUCAAUUCAUGGAGUCUGUGAAGGUUAGAGGCACAUAGGUGAAGGGGUUAGACAUUUAUUUCCAAAAAAACAUUUUUCACUCUUGAAAGUGAAUUUAGUCUGUCAUAAAUUUUAUCAGAAUUGUGUUCAGACCAAAAAAGAUCAUUUUAAAUUUGUUUUAUACAUCAAUUGUUGUAUCUAUGAGCUACAACAUGGGGUUAAAAACCUUGCAUAAGAGUCGACUAUUUUAGCUCAGAGGACGAAUAAAGUCAUCAUAGUAGUUCUGGGGUAAGUUGAGCCAGUAACUCAACUGAGAAAGUAAAGGAGUCUGAUGAGAGGAUCAGAGUUUCAGUUCAGGUUGUUGAAAUGCGUAACUUUUUCUUUUAAAAACUACAGCUGUGAAUGUUCUGAAUCACUUAAAGACAUUCUCAUGUUAAAAUGACUUUUUACAAAACAGCUUUUUAACAGUUAUAUGCAAUAUUAAAAAAAAGAAUUAUUGUACCAGUUGAAUCGCGUAUAAUACAUUAAAAAACACACGAGUGUGAAGAAGUGACUGUUAUUUAGAGAGAGAGAAGGUGAGGGAGGGCUGGGGUGGAGAGUGGGGGGUAGUAGGGACACGGCUCAAUUUACCCUUUAUGGUCAACUUACCUCAUACACGAGGUAAGUUGACUAUAGGAGACCACUUUUUUUGGCAUGCUAUAUUAUCAAGACAGUUAUGUUUACACUCAUUCUGUUGGUUUGCAGGGAUGCACAACAUCUUAAAAUAUACGCAGAUUCACUAGUUAGAGACAAAACUAUGAUUGACUUGAUGUAGUGAUCCGAAAUAUGAAAAAUGGCUUAUCUUACCCCACUCUCCCCUGUAUAUGUAUGUGUGUAUAUAUAUAUAUAUAUAUAUAUUAAAAGGUCACAGAGAAUGCAAAAUUAUUUUAUCCUUUGCACUAUUCAAGCAUUGGAUGACGAUGGGCCAGUAUUAAAAUAUCACAACACCUAAUGUAGGUCUUCACUUUUCAGUCUGUGUCUUGUGCCAUUAUGAUAUGAAGUUCAAAACCUAUUUACAUUGAUAUUGAAAUUAAAUAUAGUUCUAAUCAACUACAUAAGUGAAGUCAUUUUUUGUAGAUUUUUUGUGCUCUUGAAUUUCACUGAAAUCCAUGAAGACAAUUUGCAUAUGGGUGUGUGUGAGAGAGUGAGAGCGAGCAGGUUGUACUGUAACAACUCAGCAGCUCUUAUUACAUGGCUGUGCGGUGUGUGCACUAAUAGAAGUAGGGUAAGUGUGUUGACCCCAGUCAUGUCGGAAGUUCAGGAGUUGAGAGGGAUUUUCUAAAGGGUGUCUUUGCUGAAGUGUUUGUUCAUGAGUGUCUGUUUCUUUGUAUGUGUGUGUAUGUGUGUGUUCGUGUAAGCUUUGCUGAUUAACACCAGAUGUGCAGGGCUCAGGGUGUCGGCAACAACUCGAGAGGGCCCCACUGUACUCUAGUCGGCCCUGGUUGAAGAAAUUGUCAAAGCGACUUCUUCACACAUGGCUGACAUUAAUAUCUUCUGUGUUCAUCCUCCAAAUCCCCGAGAGGUUAGAAACAUCAGGUCAGACUGAGCUAUAGGCACGUUUAAUAAGGUGGACAUGAAGCAGAGGCUGCCAGAUAAUUGCAGGUAUCCUGCUGUACCACUAGAGGGCAUGAGAGAGCUGUAAAAAUAUCUCUAGGUCCUCUAAACCGGAGUCCCAAAGUUCGAUUUUGCUGCUCUGUUGUUGUCUUUUCUUUAUGCAAGGAAGUUUUCAGGUCAGAUAAAGCCUUCAGAAAUGUUUUUGUGUUGAAUAUUUGUCAUACAUUCUUUUUACAUAAAAAUUUACCUGAACAAAUUCAACUAACAUAACAGACAAGAAAAUAGCUGAAGUCGAGUGGUGGAAAGUUCUCAUAACUUUCUGUUUUCUUGUGAUAAUAAUUGAUCUCUGCAAAAACCUUACAGAUAAAGUAUUUGUAUUUCAGAAAACAGCGAAAGGUAGCCAUCAAAUGCACCCAGAGCCUAAAUGAAGUCAUUACUUUUUCCAGUAGUUAACAGAAAGAAUUUGAGUAACCAGUCCUCACAUGCUAAAGUUUACUUUCAAUAUGAUUUGACCGAUGGCUGACUUUUUGCUGCUGAUGGAAAAAUGUUUUUGGACUGAUUGAAUGACUCAUUCUAUAGUUUGAGUGAAGGCUAUGAGUGCAACAAAAAAUCAAAGGAAAUUAAAUUUAGAUGUUAAAAAUGUAAAAUACAAAGGUAUGUAAUUUCAGCUACAGAAUAUAUAUGAAAGUUUUGUCUCAAGUUAAGAAGUAGGCUCUUAAAAUGAAUGUUGAAUUUUAAACAGCUAUCUGUCAUUAACUUUAUUUAGAUGUAUGCAGGCAAGAAAAUGCAAAAGCACCCACUCUGAGGCAAGUCUGUGGGUGCUCAUGAGUUAUUAUUUCCUGUCAGUCUCUCCAUUUUAACCCCACUUUCUUAAACCUACUCUUUUAUCUUCACAUCCAAGACCCCCUCCAGUCUCUCUACCUUUUGUCCCUGUGUGAAUAUUUCACAUUGCUGUUGCCGUUGGUGCGUGAUGCUGGGGACUGAGCCCUCAUUGUGCGUAUGCGGUGUGGGUGCUGCGGUAUGUGACUUCCCGGCGUGUGGUGUGUCGUGACAGGCGUGUGGCUGCUGACGCCAGCCGGCCGCCUGCCUGCCUGUCUGUCUGCCUGUUCAGUUACACCUGACUGGCACAGACACUACCAUGGCUACACUCACACACAUAUGCAAAAAUGUACUUGGAUCUAUAGAAUGAUGCCUAAAAGUCAGAGAAAGAAUCAUUGAAUCUCUGCCGCUGUGGGACAAUCUUCAGAUUUAUCCUUUUGUUUUGUCAUCAUAUAUACUGACUUUAUAUUUUUGAUACCCAUCAUGUAUGUCCAGCCCUGUUGCAACAAACAUAUUAUUGUCGCUCGAUGGUAAAAAUACUUUGUUGAGUUUGUUUUUUUAAAAUAUGCUGCAUAGUCUGUUCUGAGAUGCAGUGAAGGCCGGGCGAUAUUGCGGCGCGCUGCAGUGUAAUCCGUGGUAUUUAGUGUGUUCUCUCGGGCUGCUGAGGUGAAAAGUUGAACCUGGUGUUGACCUUCUCUUGAGAGAGGGCUUAGCUCUGAAGUCAGGCGCAGGCCAAACGCACAGGGAGGAUAUUCUCAAGUUCCUCUUUCCCUCCCUCACGUGCACCACUCCUCUGCACGGCCACCCUCCCCUCUCACACGGAAACAAUCAGCAUCUGUGAUAAGAUGUUAUACAUAUUUCCAUCAUUUUAUCUCAUCAGUGUGUUCGGUUUGUUUGUCUUUCCAUCAUGACUAAAUACUUGUGUCCUCCUGUCAUGGAGCUGUUAAUCACAAUCACAUUUCAUCUAGGUGUAAGGAGGUGAGGACAGAAUGAAGGAGUAAAAGACCGAGGGGCCUAAUGUUUAUCACUGCAGGGAGCUAAAUUCCAGAUGGAGAGAUAAUGUAGAGAACAAGUAAAUAGAUAUGCAGAAAUAGACAAAGUGGCGACAGGAAUGGUUGUUGGGGUAAACUAUACAAAUUUUUCUAUGUAUCCACGAGGGGCCAGUUUAAUGCAGGUUCGAGUACACAGGUUUGACUCAUAAAUCCUCCACAACAAACACUUGGGUAUCACUGUGUUGUUUUUUUUAAUAUACCACCCAAAAUAAGUAGAUCUCAGUCCCUGCUUGUCACAGUUAAGGGCUGCUUAAUUUCUUAAUCUCUUCAGUACAAUCGUUGAAGUAAACACUGAAGUUAUCUUCCAAAAGAAUGAGACGAACCUACCCUGUUUGUGUGGUGGCAUUGUUAAGAUUUUUGUUUAUUUUUCUCUUUUAUUGUUAUCUUUAUCGAGGACAGACGGUCGAACCGCCGUAGGAUUUACAUGCCUUAUCAUGUGUCGAAUCGUACGUCUCAGACAUGCUGAUCCACACUCCAUUUUGUUAAGGAAACAUGACCCAGAAUUCAAAACUAAGUCUGACAUUCUUCCAGUCCAGUGGAGCAGGAGAAUACAUGGCCUAAAGAUAUGAGUCCGACAGUAGAUGUUGAAUUUUGCUGCACUCUGUUCUCCAUCUGUUUUAGUUUUGGAGUGGUUGUGAUAACCUCAGCCUGACCCCUGAUUGGGCUAAUCUCACCCUCAUCUUCUCUCGCUGGUCAGCUGACAGAACGCUGCGCUGCAGUUGGUGAGUGCACCACUGAGGAAGAGGAAUUUGUUUAGCAUUGUGUUGGGGUAACAGUUAGCCAGUGUGAAGUUUAGUCUACUGUCUAAACCAUAGCAAAGCUUCAAAACACAGAAACAAGAGGAAUGUUUAGGAUGAGAAUUCAGAGGGCCAAACAUGUUUGCUUUCCCAGGCAGUGGACUGUUAAAUACUGUUCCCAUUUGGUGUGAGCACAAGCACAACUGCAUGUCAGUAAAUACACAGUCCUGAAUGUCUCUUAGGUUAUUAUAUAAUAUAUUUUGUAUUAUAUCUUGUAUUGAUUUUAAAUCUGUAUAUGAGGUUUUGUUUGAGUUCCUGGUUUGUAAAAGAUGGGGAUAAUCUCCAGCCCAAAGCUGAGAAAAUUUCCACAAACUAGCAAUCAAAUCAGCGAGUUUAGUUUCAUCAUCACUUGUUGACUCGGAGUUGAGAGACUGUAAGUGAAACAAAGCCGUAGCAGCUGAAGUUUUGAGUGAUUUUUUUUGUAAUAGACUGGAAAAGUUGCAGUCCAGUGCAGUAGCAGCUUCAGGCGCUCUGUUUGGAGUGCUUUGGUCCAGCCAGAUUAGAUCAGAGGACCACUCUGUUUGUUUGUUUUGAUAUGGGAGGGGCAAGGCUCUUGAGGGACACCCCCUCCCUCCCUCUGAAAACUACCACUCUGCUAUCCCUCCCCAGGAUUCACCUUCGGGGCACAGUCGACUGGAGCCCCCCUGACCUCUCUGUCACCCUCUCCUAAGCCACGUUAGCCAAGGCAUCCUGGGAACAAAAAAGAAAAUGAGAGAAGUCUCUGCUGUGUCUUAGCAUCUACUGAACCAAAUCACAACCAGACCUGUUCAUCAGGGGUGUAGGCAGUGCCACCCAGGCAGGCAGCCCCUCUAGACCUGGUCAGCCCUAGAAAAGGUCAGCAGGAUGACCUCUCUUUCAUCUGCGUAUGUGUCUGAGGCUGCAAUCCAGUUUUUUAGUGUUCCUGUGAAACGGGCUCUCAAUCUGACUUUAGACCAUGAUGGAUCCAAAACUGGGUAAGAUGGGUUUUCUUUGACUCAGACUCUCAUUGGCUUAAUAAAUAGAG
rnacentral:lncRNA from 1 species